CAAUUAUUGCCGCGUUUCGUGACGUGUGAUUCUUCAGUGAUUUGAUAUUUGAAUAGAGACGUCAAUAAGGUUCAAAUGCGAAAAGCAAAGAAAUGAAAAGAUACACGUUAAAACACGAUGGCUGGGAUCCCUGCACGUUGGGCGGAGUUUCUCGCUACAUUUUAUGCUUCGACUGAUUCGCCUCGCUAAUUUCAGCUGCAUGUAUAUAAACGUUAGAUUUGUUACGAUCACGAGCAGAAAGUGUUUGCUUCUCAAAGCGUCUUCGAAGCGAGCGGUGUAAAGCGACGAGUUUUCUCAGAAUGAGAGCAAAGCUUUUGUAUGCCAUUGCUUUACUGGUUUUGUUGGUGUUGCUGCAACAACCAGCUGAGUCGAAAAAGGUGAUCAUCCAUAUCCCCUAUCGAAUAAAGAACAUAAAGCACACGCAUACGAUCUACAAAGUCGUGCCGCAUUAUCACGAAGAUACGAAGGAGGAUAUAGAAGAAGACGAUAAACAUUAUUAGAAAUAAGCGGAUAAUAUAAUAUAUAAUAUAAUACAAAUAGAUGUAAAUUACAACCCAACGAUUAGUUAAUAGAGCCUACGAGUCAUGUUCAAACAGUAUUCUAUGUAUAACGAGUUUAUUUAAAUAACAAAUGACUAGGUCUUUAACGAAGUUAAGCUGGGAACAAAUUUUGUAAAUUCCAACGUUAAAAGCUCGCAAAUUUCUUUGUACACAAUAAGAGAAAAUAUACAAAGAAUUAGAAACUAAAUAUUCGAAGAAGAUAAGGUCACUUUUUAUGUCGACAAAGGAAAAAUGUCGAAGAAUUCAUAAUAGGAUAAAGAAUUUAUGAAGAAUCAAUAAAGAAGUUUAUUUCCAAAAACAUAUUUCUUUGCUAUUUCUUUCAUUAAU
rnacentral:misc_RNA from 1 species